CUUGUAGCAAAUCAAACAUUCUUGUUUUUCAGUGAGCUCACUUCUUCUUCUUCUCUACUUUCCACAAGACUUUGACUUCGAAGAGCAGAAAAUGGAAGGAAGAGGUAAAGUCAGCAUGAUCAACGGUGGAGAUGGAACUAGAAAAGGUGGUAGAGAACACAGUAGCCGUCCGAUCCCGAAGAGAGGGCAAGUCAAAGUUGGGAUCUUGCUUGGUUUUGCUAAUUCUUUUGCUUCCAUCUUUGGCUCAACGAGAAACUUCCAUGGAUCCUAAACUUAAUCUUCUAUCUUCUCAUUUCCCACAGAAAUAUUUUCAUUCACUUUUUAGAAUUUUCUGUGGUUUAUUGGAGUGAGAUAAGAUUGGUGAUCUUGUAGUGUCUAGUUUGUUGAGUUCAAUUUCAUUUUGUCAUUUCAUUUUUGUACAAAUCCUAUGUAGUUUCUCUUGUUAAAAUAUAUAUAUUGUGAUCUUUCUAGAUGCUAGAUUUCUUAUUUACUUUAUCAAUUUGAUCUAUAAUAUUUAGCUUUUGGU